rnacentral:lncRNA from 1 species
GGGAGGGGUUUUCUAAGUGAGCUUCUCACUGUUGGGGUGAACCCAACACUGUCUCCCCGUUCCUCAGCCUGGGUAGCGCGCUAAGAACCUUUGCUCCCUGGGUGGGUCCAGGCGUUACCCGUGGGUGUGGGCACAGCUGUGACCUGAACAUCUGCAGUGUUUGUGCACCUGUGUGCCUUUCCACUUAAUGGCUCAUUUUUCUAUUAAUCUGUUAAAGCCUAUGUAUUAACAAUGCAUUAUGUUUGAUGCAGGUAUUUUUUGCAGUUUAUAGAUUGCCUUUUCAUUGGUGUAUUGUGUUUCAAACAUAACAAAAGUUACUUUUUUCUGAAGUUGUUCUUUAUGCUUUCUGUGCUGGUGUUAUGCUUAGAUCGCUCACCCCCGAAGUGUGUUAAUCUUACUCUGUAUUAUUUUGUGACACUUGUAUGGUCCAGUUUGUUAAUGUUUAAACACACAAUCCACCUGGAGUUUGUAGUGCAGCCUGUGUGUGUGGCUGGGGAGGCCUGAUGCCCCCUCAGAACCCCUGAGCCUGCUUUCUCCAGGCACCCACCUCCCGAGCCCGGUCAGCUGAGGGGGUUACUGUCACAGAAGGCCAGUUCGCCGAAGACCUGGGCGGGCAAGGGACUGUUGUCUCCCGAUGGGGUCCUGGCUGUCUCUCCUCCAUGACUCCCUCCCGCCCAUCUUAACGUUUGAGACCACCAGGCAACCCUGGGCGAGGGCGGGUGGCCAAGAGCAGGGGCAGACGGACAGAUCUGGUUCCACUCCUGCCUGGGGAGCUUUACCACUGGGAGCAAAUGACUGAGCCUGGCCACGCCCGGGAAGUGGGGGUGAAGGUCGUGUAUCUGGUGCACAGCGACUGCUCACUCAGUGUCGCAGCGAUGCUUCCUCUCCCUCACUGGCCAGCCUCAGACCCAGCCGCUUCCUCCCGGGUCCCUCUCCCCAGCCUCUAGUGGCCUGUCUGCCUUGCUCUGGGCCUUUGAGGUAGUGGGAGUCUGUGUGCCUGUCCUGGCCCCUUCCGGUUUUACUCUCAGUUUUGUUUCCAUUCACAUUUUCCGGUAUCAGCGGAGUCCACAAAUGCAUUGAAAAUGGCUCUUAGGGCUGUUAAUUCUUCCGCGGGAAUUCCAUGGAAGGCUUCCAGAGGCCUGUAAGUGCUUGAAACUGUGUGUGUGUAUAUGUGUGUAUGUAUAUUAUAUAUAUAUAUAAUAUUUUUUUCCCUGUGGAUGGAAAGCAUAAGCUUGCUGAAGGGGUCCACGACCUCGAUAUCACCAAUAAACAAUUGUGUUACUGUAUCCGUUGCGCUUACACUGUGGGAUGUUGGACUGAUUUCUUAAGGUGUAAAGUGUUUUGACUGUUUUCACUUGUGCUGCUGUGAUUGUGCAUCUCUCUAAAUUUUGUGAAAAUAUCUAAAUAUGUAUUGGUACAAAUACAUACAUCCUGCCUGUUCCCUAAGGGGGCCUUGCCUGGUCACUGAGCAUGUGUGGUCUUAGAACUCUUGUCACAGUCUCGCAGCUGCUCUAGAAACCUUGCACUUGCUCUUGUGAGAAUAUCUGUUUCCCUUCAUAACUGCCUAUGUGAGGUUUUUCUGUUUUAUUUAUUGUAUGGUAAAAUACACAUAACAUAAAUGUCACCAUCUUAACCAUUUUAACGUGUACAAUUCAGUAGUGUUAAGUUUAUUCACGUUGUUGUGAAUAUAACCAAUCCCCGAAACUUUCUCAGCUUGCAAAAUUGAAACCUCUGUGCCCCUGAAACUCCUCAUUCCCUUCUCCCCCAGCCCUGGCGGCCACCAUUCUACUUCUCUGUUUCUAUGGGUUCGACAACUUUAGGCACCUCUUAUUAAGUGGAACCAUAUAGUAUUUGUCCUGUCGGCACUGGCUUAUUUUACUCCGUGAUCUCCUCUAGGUUCGUGUGUGUUAUUCCAUAUAUCAAGAUGCUUCCCUUUGUAGAAGAGCGUCCCGUGGUACGCGCGCCACGUCUUAUCGAUCCAUUCAGCCAUCCGUGAGCACCUGGCUUGUUCCACUUCUGUUACUGUGAAUAAUGCGCUUAUGAACAUGGGUGUACAAAUACCUUUUGGAGACACUGCUUUCAGUUCUUUGGGGGUAUAUAGGUGGUAUUGCUGCAUUUUGGAGGGAACUGCCAUACUGUUUUCCAUAACAGCUACACCAUUUUACCCUCCUCCCAACAGUUGACAAGGGUUCCCAUUUUCCGCUUCUUCACCAGUGCUUGUUUCUUUAUAGCAGCCUCCCUGAUGGGUAUGAAGGAUCUCAUGGUGGUUUUGCUUUGAACUCCCCUCAUAAUUAGUGGUGUUGAACAUCUUUCCAAAUGCUAGUUGGUCAUUUGUGUAUCAGCUUUGAAGAAAUGCCUCUUCAGGUCUUUUGCCCAUUACAAAAAAAACAAAACAGGUUUUUUGGGUUUUGAUUUGUGGGAGUUAUUUAUAUAUUCUGAUACUAACCCUUCAUUAGAUAAGUGGUUUACAAAAAUUGUUUCCAUUUCAGAGUUGCCUUUUCACUGUUGAUUGUGUCUUUUGAUGCUUUUAAUUUCGAUGUAAUUCAGUUUAUCUGUUUUUACUUUUGUUACCUGUGCUUUUGGUGUCAUGUCCAAGAAAAUGUUGCCAAAUCCAAUGUUAUGAAGUAUUUAUUGCUGCUCUUAAAAGUUCUUUAGUAGUCAGUCUCAUUUCUGUAAUUACUGUCUAGUCUAUUUUGCCACUUGGUUUAUCAGCUGCAUUUUUCUGCUUUGACCAUUUACUUACAUUGUAAAACAACCAUGUUGAUUUUUAUAAAGAUCAUGAAUUCUUUGUAGAGUUGGGAAGGGAAGCUUUUGCUGGUGAUUGUCAAACUUACUCUCAUUUUUUCUUAUCUUUGUUGUGUACAAAGCUAUCUCUUAUACAAAGACUAUUAAAAAUUUGAUGUGAUAAGUCUGAUAAUAUCUAAUGAGACUAUUGGGUUUGCUCCUAAUUACAUUUUUCUUUAGUAACUAAACAUGCAUGUCCUCCCCCAUUACACUGGGUGCUCUGCUCCGUUUACGGUGUUAGGAAUCCAACCCAGGAGCGUAUGUAAUUAAUUCCUUAACACUGGCAAAGGUGAAAUAUCAUACUUUUUUAAUUGAGUAAAUACUGUCAUUGCUGUUUUGUUCUAGAUCUGUCAAUAUUAGCUUAAUAAUUAUCUGCCUGAAUCUGUUUCUCAAAAUUUUAAUCUCUAGUUUUUGUUGUUUCUAAUCAAAUACAAUGAAUUGUAAUGACUGUCACUGUUCAUUAUGUUAUAAAAUGCUCCUUAUGUUCUGAAGUCAGAGUGGAAGCUGUGAUACUCCUCAGGGCAAGACUUCUGUCUCCUUGUUGGAACUGGAGCACACAUAAUGCGGUUAGUCUUUGGUUCAAGACAUAACAUGGCUCUUCUUUGUUGGUUCCUCGGUGUUUUUAAGAAUGUGGUGCACAUGCUGAAUCUUCUCUUCGGUGUAUAAACCAGGACUUUGGCCAGUUACUUACUCUGCCUGUGUCGUCGUCGCCGUCCCCACCUCCUCCCCAAGUCUCCCCGCUGCCUCCCCUGGGCCGGCGUAAUCAUGGCCCUGAAUGUAGGGUUAUCUUUUACUUGCUUUCUUUUCAUAUAACUUUGGAAAAAAAACUUACCUAAAUGUUUUUAAACUGUUUGUUUUCAUUUUAGUUGUUUUUAACUUUAUAGAAAAGGUAUUACAUCAUAUCGAAUCUUCUGAAGCUUUUCUCCUUUAUCAGUAUUAAGAUUCACUCUUGACCGUGUGUGUUCACUUGGAGUCUCUUGUGACUAUAACACGGUUAACUGAUGUUUCCCGCUGCUUCUCUUAUUUUAAGGGAAAUAGGUAAGUGAUUGGUGGACGCUCUUGUGAACAGAAUUAAAGCCUGACUGACAGGUCGGCACUACCAGUACCCCACCCACCCCCAGCUGGCUGUUUGCUGCCACACCUUUUUCUAUUCAUUUUUAUCUAUAUCUAAUAUAAAAACAUCCAUGUAAGUGGAAAAUACUGUUCUAGAUCAUACAUCUUUACUGACUUGCUUUUUCACUUAGCGAGGGGAGGGUCAGAGAGCACCCACAGGCUGCUGUUGUCGUGCUAAGCGGCUGCGUGGUGUUCUUUUUCUGGAACAGUCUGUGAGUUCUUUAGCUGUUCUGCUGCCGAUCAACGUUUACAUGCUUUCCAGUCCCUUUGGAUGCCGUGGAAUCAUCCUCAUACCCGCCCCGUAUGCACACACGUGGCUGUUUCUCUGGUACCAAGACGCAGAAUUGCUGGGUCACAGGCCGGGUCAGCGCUCAGCUCGCCCUGCGGGCCUCCGGCGUGGGCGUGGGGAUCGCAUCCCCGACUGCGAGUGUCUGUUUGUCCACCCCUCUUGGACACUCUGUGUAGCAAGCUCGAAAAUUUCUGCCUGCUUUGACGGGCGGCGUAUUCACAGUGAGCCACAGAGACUUCGGUGGGUGCAAUGGACUCUCGACAUCUGUGGGUUUAACAUUUGUGGACUCAAUGCUCAUAGGGAUCCCAGAGUCCAAGCCACAUAAUCAUUUUUAAUUUUCUCGAGGUGUGAUUUUUUUUUAAUUACUCAUGUUGUGAGGAUGCCCAGCCGAACACUCUGCAGCCACUGUCAAAGGGACCAAAACUUGGCAAAUUUAGGUAAGUUCAUGGCUAAUGUUAUUAUACCAUAUGUAGUGUUGUAAUGUGGGGACUCUUGAGUGUAUGUUUGUGGCAGGAUUUAUUUUAAUCUCUUUAUAAAUGACUAAUCUAUUUAAAACUUAGGACAUUGUAGAAAAACAAUGAAGAUAAAAUAUUCGCUAUUAUUCCUCUCCCAAGAAUAAUUACUGAGUGAUAACUUCAUUUAUAUUCCUUCAGACCUUUUUUCCCCCUCCAGGGACAUGGUACGAUUUAUCCUAAUAUACUCCCUGCCCUAAAAUGGAUGCGUGCAAUAUGUACUUACUGUUCUGCGACUAAUUUGUUGUUUCCUUGGCUCCAUAACAUUUCACCUUGCACAUUUUGGUGUAGGUAUUUUAACCAUCUUCCUGUUGGUGGGCUUUUAAGAUUACUUCUGGGGUUUUCUUUUUUAUUAUUAUUAUUAACACUUUUAUUGAAAUACAAUCCAUCUUUCUGGGGUUUUCUGACCAUUGCAAACAGUGCUGCCGUGAGCUUCUUAGGAGCAACUCCUUGUGCACCUGCUAAGCGAGCGCUGGGAUCUUAAUGCCUGCAGGACGUGCGAGCCCCCGGCAUUCUCAUGUGCUCUGGCCCGGCCCUGCCCGGCCUGCAGCGCUCCCCUCCUUGUGCUGUCUGGGUCUGGGGCUCUCAGUCUUGUGAGAUGGGUUGAGAGUUUCUGCUGCCAAAGUGGAAUAACGUUGGCCUGUUCCUAAUGUGCUAUGAAACUGAGUUAAAACUGUUGAGUUGUGCAAACUGCUUGUCCAUACCAGAUUUUCACGUGAGACGGUGUCUGACUUAGGUAGCACGAAGCAAGAACGGGCCUAACAAGCCUCAGAGUCUCUAAGCAGGUUGAAAGACAAACUCUUCUAGGAAAGCAGUUGUGACAUUUGCGAAAAGUAGCAUUGAAUUGUUUCACUGGUUGGAGGUUUGGUCUAUUGAAGUCUUCCCACCUGGCAUCUGUCUGUGGGCAUUUCUAGUCCUAAGAGGAAAGGAGAGAUUGGAUGAGGGCACAGCUGCCCAUCUCCUGCGUGCUCAGCACAACCUGGGCUGCCUUCCGGUUCUUUAAGUACAUGCUCUCUCCUGGAAGAGGCCGCCAAAUGCCAGGAGCACAGGCAUCCUAACCUGCCUCCCGAGAGCCCCUCACCCAUCCUAAUGACCAACCCAUCAUGGCACUUUCAUGGUUUUUUGCUGUGCCUAAAGGUUGUCACCGUUGAACCAACCACAUCCAGUUCCGUGGACUUUACAGAUGAAAAGCUCCGAGACACCCUGUCUUGCUGGAAAUGCUGAUACAGUUAUACAAACCCAGCCUGGAGAAUGACUUGGGCGUGUUCUUGGAGGGGAGUUCGGCUGGGAGGGUGUGAGUGCCAAACCUCUGCCCCGGUGCAGCCAGCUGCCGUCCCUGGGACUCCUGUGUACCUGGGAUGUCCGAACGAAUCCCGUGCUGGUAACCGGCACCUGACCCGCGCAAGCCCCGCCUUUGUCUCCUGUCCACCCCCAGUGGACUGUUUAUAAAACGUCUCGAGGACUUUCCUGCCUCAUCGAAUUGGUUACACGGACCGGACUGACUCUCCCCUGGGAGUCAGCGGCAGCCUGCGUCUCUUCAGAAAUCAUGGGUUGAGCUUAUUUUUCCACCAAACAUGAUUCUGUUCUCUGAGUAUGAUUUUUUUCUGAUUUACUGUUGAAAGGAUGCUUUCAACAUAGGAGGCUUUUCUCCGUUUUCUAAGGGCGUGUUCUGCACAAACCCGAUUGUUUGCUCGAGGGAACAUUACUGGCUCCGAGGGCCGGACCAGUGUGAAGGCUUCGGAUGCAGGUUGCCAGGCAUCUUCCUGAAAGGCCAGCGCAGCUCAGCCGGGCCCUGGUUCUGGCUCUUUUUGUUUUUAUCUUGGCUGAUUGGAAGUCGAAGCAGUGUCUCAAUGUGUUAACUAGCACCCUUUGAUUCUGCGAAGCUGCCCGAUCUGUGCAUCUGCUUUGUGCUUCACUCUUCAUUUGCUUCCCAAGAACUCUUUUUGCUGAGGACUUUUUUUCUCCACGAAGUCACACACAAUUUAUUUUGGAACUAAAUAGUAUGGACUGCAUACAAAGGUUUUAUCCUAAACUCUCCUGAUAGACGUAUGCUGAGGACAUUUGCCCUUAUUAGACACCCUUAGAUAUUACAAAAUGUUUUUCAAGUUUGUAAUUUUUGUCUUUUAAGUUUACACAUUGGAUCUUACUGACGGUUUUAAAUUUUGUAAUUAUUUAAUUUGAUUUGGGGGUUUAUGUACUUUGAUGUUGUGCCAUAUUUUCCUCUGGUUCUUUGGUGGUUUCAUUUUUGACAUUUAACUUUUACUCCAUCUAAGAAUUGUUUUGGUGUGCAGUAUGAGGUAAGACUCUAUCUUAGCUCCUCCAAAAUGAUCAACAAAUGCCCCCACACCAUCACUGAAUAAUAAUUCUACCUUCUCUACUGAUU